rnacentral:rRNA from 1 species
AGAGUUUGAUCCUGGCUCAGGAUGAACGCUGGCGGCGUGCCUAACACAUGCAAGUCGAGCGAGGGUUUGCUCAGUAUUGAGUAUUCUAAGACUAGAAUGUUCAAUUCUGAGCAAAACCAAGCGGCGGACGGGUGAGUAACGCGUGGGUAACCUGCCCUAUACACAUGGAUAACAUACUGAAAAGUUUACUAAUACAUGAUAAUAUAUAUUUGCGGCAUCGCAGAUAUAUCAAAGUGUUAGCGGUAUAGGAUGGACCCGCGUCUGAUUAGCUAGUUGGUGAGAUAACUGCCCACCAAGGCGACGAUCAGUAGCCGACCUGAGAGGGUGAUCGGCCACAUUGGAACUGAGACACGGUCCAAACUCCUACGGGAGGCAGCAGUGGGGAAUAUUGCACAAUGGGCGCAAGCCUGAUGCAGCAACGCCGCGUGAAGGAUGAAGGCCUUCGGGUUGUAAACUUCUGUCCUAGGGGAAGAAACAAAUGACAUUACCCUUGGAGGAAGCCCCGGCUAACUACGUGCCAGCAGCCGCGGUAAUACGUAGGGGGCGAGCGUUAUCCGGAAUUAUUGGGCGUAAAGAGUGCGUAGGUGGCACCUUAAGCGCAGGGUUUAAGGCAAUGGCUCAACCAUUGUUCGCCUUGCGAACUGGGGUGCUUGAGUGCAGGAGGGGAAAGUGGAAUUCCUAGUGUAGCGGUGAAAUGCGUAGAUAUUAGGAGGAACACCAGUGGCGAAGGCGACUUUCUGGACUGUUACUGACACUGAGGCACGAAAGCGUGGGGAGCAAACAGGAUUAGAUACCCUGGUAGUCCACGCCGUAAACG